GAUGAACGCUGGCGGCGUGCCUAAUACAUGCAAGUCGAGCGAACGGACGAGAAGCUUGCUUCUCUGAUGUUAGCGGCGGACGGGUGAGUAACACGUGGAUAACCUACCUAUAAGACUGGGAUAACUUCGGGGAACCGGAGCUAAUACCGGAUGAUAUUUUGAACCGCAUGGUUCAAAAGUGAAAGACGGUCUUGCUGUCACUUAUAGAUGGAUCCGCGCUGCAUUAGCUAGUUGGUAAGGUAACGGCUUACCAAGGCAACGAUGCAUAGCCGACCUGAGAGGGGGAUCGGCCACACUGGAACUGAGACACGGUCCAGACUCCUACGGGAGGCAGCAGUAGGGAAUCUUCCGCAAUGGGCGAAAGCCUGACGGAGCAACGCCGCGUGAGUGAUGAAGGUCUUCGGAUCGUAAAACUCUGUUAUUAGGGAAGAACAUAUGUGUAAGUAACUGUGCACAUCUUGACGGUACCUAAUCAGAAAGCCACGGCUAACUACGUG
rnacentral:rRNA from 1 species